GGGGAAUAUUGGGCGUAAAGAGCUUGUAGGUGGCUUGUCGCGUCUGCCGUGAAAACCCGAGGCUCAACCUCGGGCGUGCGGUGGGUACGGGCAGGCUAGAGUGUGGUAGGGGAGACUGGAACUCCUGGUGUAGCGGUGAAAUGCGCAGAUAUCAGGAAGAACACCGAUGGCGAAGGCAGGUCUCUGGGCCAUUACUGACACUGAGAAGCGAAAGCAUGGGUAGCGAACAGGAUUAGAUACCCUGGUAGUCCAUGCCGUAAACGUUGGGCACUAGGUGUGGGGGACAUUCCACGUUUUCCGCGCCGUAGCUAACGCAUUAAGUGCCCCGCCUGGGGAGUACGGCCGCAAGGCUAAAACUCAAAGGAAUUGACGGGGACCCGCACAAGCGGUGGAGCAUGUGGUUUAAUUCGAAGCAACGCGAAGAACCUUACCAGGUCUUGACAUCCUUUGAAGCUUUUAGAGAUAGAAGUGUUCUCUUCGGAGACAAAGUGACAGGUGGUGCAUGGUCGUCGUCAGCUCGUGUCGUGAGAUGUUGGGUUAAGUCCCGCAACGAGCGCAACCCUUAUUGUUAGUUGCCAGCAUUCAGUUGGGCACUCUAGCGAGACUGCCGGUGACAAACCGGAGGAAGGCGGGGACGACGUCAGAUCAUCAUGCCCCUUAUGACCUGGGCUACACACGUGCUACAAUGGCGUAUACAACGAGUUGCCAACCUGCGAAGGUGAGCUAAUCUCUUAAAGUACGUCUCAGUUCGGACUGCAGUCUGCAACUCGACUGCACGAAGUCGGAAUCGCUAGUAAUCGCGGAUCAGCACGCCGCGGUGAAUACGUUCCCGGGUC
rnacentral:rRNA from 1 species